UACGAAGGGGGCUAGCGUUGCUCGGAAUCACUGGGCGUAAAGGGUGCGUAGGCGGUUUGUCGCGUCGGGAGUGAAAACCUUGGGCUUAACUCAGGGCUUGCUUUCGAUACGGGCAGACUAGAGGUAUGCAGGGGAGAACGGAAUUCCUGGUGUAGCGGUGAAAUGCGCAGAUAUCAGGAGGAACACCGAUGGCGAAGGCAGCCCCCUGGGCUGACACUGACGCUCAGGCACGAAAGCGUGGGGAGCAAACAGG
rnacentral:rRNA from 1 species